CAGAGUGCUGCAUGGGACAUCUCUUGACUCACUCCAGGCUCAGGACUGACAAGAUCACAAUAUGGAGAACGGAAGGGAGGAAGCCUCAAGCACUAACCCUUAGAGCAUAGAAAGCACACCACUGUGAUGAGAUAUACAGAAGAAGGCCCCAGAGGCACAGCACCCAGAAAACUAAAGAGCUGGAUUCUAUUUCCUAAUAAUAUAUGGUGAGCUAAGCUGAGCAGAGCCUCGGGACAGAGGCGAAGCAUAUAUGACUACACGGACGGUAGACAACAUCGAGGAAUGAGUCUAGGAUGAAGGGCUCCUGUGAAGAAGAGAGGUGACUGUCUGCCAUGACACCAUCACAUCUCCUGUCAGUCCCAGGGGCCUACACAUUCCUGACAGGAUGUCAC
ensembl:lncRNA